rnacentral:rRNA from 1 species
AACGAACGCUGGCGGCGUGGAUAAGACAUGCAAGUCGAACGGGACUAAAUCUGUAGCAAUACAGGUUUUAGUUUAGUGGCGAACGGGUGCGUAACACGUGGGCAAUCUGCCGAGAAGUGGGGGAUAGCUCGCCGAAAGGCGAAUUAAUACCGCAUAUGAUCAGGGACGACAUCUUCCCAACAUCAAAGCCGGGGCAACCUGGCGCUUCUCGAUGAGCCCGCGGCCUAUCAGCUAGUUGGUGAGGUAACGGCUCACCAAGGCUAUGACGGGUAGCUGGUCUGAGAGGACGACCAGUCACACUGGAACUGAGACACGGUCCAGACACCUACGGGUGGCAGCAGUCGAGUAAUUUUUCUCAAUGGGGAAACCCUGAAGGAGCGACGCCGCGUGGAGGAUGAAGGCUUUCGGGUUGUAACUCCCGUCAUUUGAGAACAAGUGUAGCCAAGUAACUACUGGCUACUUGAUAGUAUCAGAAGAGGAAGAGACGGCUAACUCUGUG